UACGAAGGGGGCUAGCGUUGCUCGGGAUUACUGGGCGUAAAGCGCACGUAGGCGGCUUUCUAAGUCGGGGGUGAAAUCCUGGAGCUCAACUCCAGAACUGCCUUCGAUACUGGAGAGCUCGAGUCCGGGAGAGGUGAGUGGAACUGCGAGUGUAGAGGUGAAAUUCGUAGAUAUUCGCAAGAACACCAGUGGCGAAGGCGGCUCACUGGCCCGGGUACUG
rnacentral:rRNA from 1 species